CGUUGAAACACUGGUUUUCGUACGAUCACCGAAGUUAAGCAACGUUGAGCCUGGUCAGUACCUAGAUUGGUGACCGCUUGGGAAUAGCAGGUGCUGU